AUGACCUCCUCUAGACGCCGCACGAACUUAACGCGCAGUUCCGUCACAUUGUCGCCCUUCAGUUGAUCCUGCAAAAGGAUACCCAGCCACACACGCGCACACACACACACACUAGACCAUUAGCCAACAAUGAAAUGCGCCAAAGAGUUAACUAUUGAAGACUUGCCUGCACGAACCAGCACUGCACCUCCAGCUGCACCAUCUCCAGGGCGCCGCGGAUGCAGCCGCUGAGUAUGGCACUGUAGCGCAGAUUGGUCAGGUCAGGCGGCAGCUCGACGAACUCCGUCAGCGGAUUGCUAUCGAAUACCAGGGAGAACUCAUCGGAGGCCGGCGACCAGUUCGAGAUGGUGGGCUGGAUAUUCAGGUAGAUGCGGAACGCCUGCUGGAUGCGAUCGGCCGUCUCGCGCAUCUCGAGGCAGCGUGGCGCCGAUGUCCUGGCCAGAAAGUCCUCGAUCAGUCGCAUGCCC
ensembl:ncRNA asRNA:CR45872 antisense RNA:CR45872